rnacentral:rRNA from 1 species
CCUACGGGAGGCAGCAGUGAGGAAUAUUGGUCAAUGGGCGCGAGCCUGAACCAGCCAAGUAGCGUGAAGGAUGACUGCCCUACGGGUUGUAAACUUCUUUUAUCAAGGAAUAAAGUGAGGCACGUGUGCCUCUUUGUAUGUACUUUAUGAAUAAGCAUCGGCUAACUCCGUGCCAGCAGCCGCGGUAAUACGGAGGAUCCGAGCGUUAUCCGGAUUUAUUGGGUUUAAAGGGAGCGUAGAUGGGUUGUUAAGUCAGUUGUGAAAGUUUGCGGCUCAACCGUAAAAUUGCCAUUGAUACUGGCAGCAUGGAGUACAGUUGAGGUAGGCGGAAUUCGUGGUGUAGCGGUGAAAUGCAUAGAUAUCACGAAGAACUCCGAUUGCGAAGGCAGCUUACUAAACUGCCACUGACAUUGAUGCUCGAAAGUGUGGGUAUCAAACAGGAUUAGAUACCCGGGUAGUC